CCCAGGUGGCCUGCCGGACCACACCUGGUAGGACACUGCAGGACACACGGUCCCCCUUUUGUCUUAAGAGACCCCCCUGAGAAGGGCAAACGGGCUGGGGGUCCGGGCAGAGGUCAGGGCCUGAGUAAAGGCCAGGAGGCAGGAAAGGGCAGGGAGCAGAAAGGUGACCCAGCCUUCAGGGGAACCUGUAAGAACUGCUUCCCAGGGAAGGCAGGCUCUGGUGGGCCCCGGUUCUCAGAAUCACCACGGUGGGGGGCGGGGGGGGGCAGGUCUCUGCAACCCCAGAUCGAGGUGUGUCACAGAAUCAAGCACAGAGGAGGAAACAGAAACUCCCCAGAAUCCCCAACGGGGGCAGGAAAGCCCCCAUGGGUGGUGACAAGUGAGACAGCAGUGCCUGGACCACCUGAGGUCACUGAGAAACAGGGGCAGGCGCAGGCAGUGGGAGCA